UUGCAAUGGGAAAUUAAAUUUGAUCAGGAUAGAUUUAAAAAUAUUGAAGACACAUGGACAGAAAAAUAUGACAGAAUAUACUGUGAAAAUGCAGCUUUUAAGGAAGAAUUGAAACUGAGGACAGAAGAAGUUAAAACACCUAAAGCUGAAAACGCAAUCCUGAAUCAGCAGUGCUUGGAAUUCCUUGCAAUGCUCGAUGUGAAACAACAGAAAGUUGUUCAGGAGAACAUGUCAUUGAAUAAAAGCAACAUUACUGAUUUUACAGGU